CAGAGACGAGGAAGGGCGUAGCAAGUGACGAAGUGCUUUGGGGAGUUGAAAAUAAGCAUAGAUCCGGAGAUUCUCAAAUAGAUCAACCUUUUGAACUGCCUACUGAAUGUGAGCGGAAAAGAAAGCAAAAGCGAUUCUCAUAGUAACGGCGAGCGAAAUGGGAGAAGCCUAAACCAUGAAAACGGGGUUGUCGGAGAACAAUACGAGCAUUGUGCUACUAGGCGAAGUUGGCAAUUGAUGGUCAAUUCACUCAGAUACAGACCCUCCAAACGAUUUUUUUAUGGCUCAGACAAUUAAAAUUAGAAAAAAAAUUGACUAUCCUUUAAAACUGUUUUGCUG
rnacentral:ncRNA from 1 species